AGGGUGUAUGGGGGAUGUCUUGGCGCUGAGAGGCGAUGAAGGGCGUGGUAAGCUGCGAUAAGCCCCGGGGUGCUGCACACAAGUUUAUCCGGGGAUUCCCGAAUGGGACAACCCAGUCCUGGGCAACCAGGAUUUUCCUUUUCCGAAUCCAUAGGGAAAGGUCAAGCUAACGUGGGGAAGUGACACAUCUCAGUACCCACAGGAAAAGAAAUCAACCGAGAUUCCGAAAGUAGCGGCGAGCGAAAUCGGAAGAGCCUAAACCGGAGGCACGUAAGUGUCUCCGGGGUCGUGGGACCGCAUAACGAUGAGGAUAAGCUGCGCGAAAUGCCUGGAAAGGCAUGCCACAGAAGGUGACAGUCCUGUAGCGUGGUUAAUCCAAGUCUGGCGGUAUCCCGAGUAGCACCGGGCACGGGAAACCUGGUGUGAAUCUGGGGGGACCACCCUCUAAGGCUAAAUACUACUCAGCGACCGAUAACGAAUCAGUAGCGCGAGCGAACGAUGAAAAGCACCGGAAGUACCGGAGUUAAAAGACCCUGAAACCAUACACCUACACAGCGGUUGGAGCCGUGCUUGCACGGUGACAGCGUGCCUGUUGAAGAAUGAGUCCGCGACUUAGUGGGUGCGGCCAGGUUAAGCCCCGGAAAGGGCGAAGCCGCAGGGAAACCGAGUCCGAAUAGGGCGCUCAGUCGUACUCACUAUACCCGAAGCCGUGGCGAUCUAACCAUGGGCAGGAUGAAGUGCGGGUAAAACCGCAUGGAGGUCCGAACGCCUCUGUGUUGAAAAACGGUGCGAUGACCUGUGGUUAGGAGUGAUAGGCUAAUCAAGCCCGGUGAUAUCUGGUUCUCCCCGAAAUAGCCUUAGGGCUAGCGUCGGAUAAAAUAGCAGAUGGGGGUAGAGGACUGAAUGGGCUAGGGGUUCUACCGAACUACCAAACCCAAUCCAACUCCGAAUACCAUCUGUGGUAACCCGGCAGUCGGACCCUGGGGGAUAAGCUUCAGGGUCGAGAGGGAAACAGCCCAGAAUACCGGCUAAGGCCCCAAAGUUCACCUCAGUUAAUAAGGAGGUGGGAGUGCGAAGACAGCCAGGAUGUUGGCUUAGAAGCAGCCACCAUUUAAAAAGUGCGUAAUAGCUUACUGGUCGAGCAUUCUCGCGCCGAAAAUUACCGGGAAUAAGGUGAACGCCGAAGCCGUAUCAUCCGCGCGCCUGUGUGCGCGCGGUUGGGUAGGGGAGCGCUGUACGGGAGAUACAAGCGGUGGCGAGAGCCUCCGUAGCGGCCCGUACAGGUGAUUAUGCGGACACGAGUAGCGAUUAAGGAGGCGAGAAUCCUCCUCCCCGUAAGCCUAAGGUUUCCUGGGCCAGGUCAUUCCUCCCAGGGUUAGGCGGGUCCUAAGGCGAGGCCGAGAGGCGUAGCUGAUGGAAAACCGGUUAAUAUUCCGGUCCCACCGGAAACCGUUAUCACCCUAGGCGUGACGCAGGUAGCCAUGGCCGGACAACCCGUUAGCUGGGUGUUCCAAGGGCAAACGGCUUUGAAGCUCCCAGGAAAAUCCAGGAGCUGAGCCCGAAGUCCGAGUGCAAGGCGGGUGACACCGCCGAAGCGGUCACAGCUAUACUGCCAAGAAAAGCGUCGAGGGAAGGCCAACGGUGCCCGUACCGUAAACCGACACAGGUAGGCGAGGCGAGUAGCCUCAGGGGCGCGAGAUAACUCUCGUGAAGGAACUCGGCAAAUUGGCUCCGUAACUUCGGGAGAAGGAGCGCCUAAUAGGGGUGUAAAAGCCCCGAAAGGCCGCAGCGAAACGGUCCCUGGAACUGUUUACCAAAAACACAGGACUGCGCAAAGUCGCAAAGACGACGUAUGCAGUCUGACGCCUGCUCUGUGCCGGAAGGUUAAGGGAAGUUGUCAGGAGGUUCGCCUCCAAAGCAAUGAACCGAAGCCCCGGUUAACGGCGGCCGUAACUAUGACGGUCCUAAGGUAGCGAAAUACCUUGUCGGGUAAGUUCCGACCUGCAUGAAUGGCGUAAUAACAGGGGUACUGUCUCCACGAGAGGCUCGGCGAAACUGUAGCAGUGGUGAAGAUGCCACUUACCCGCGGCUAGACGGAAAGACCCUGUGGACCUUUACUGUACUCUACUAUUGGGUCUUUGUGCUUGUUGCGUAGGAUAGGUGGGAGACUUCGAAGCACCGUUCUCGGACGGUGUGGAGUCGUCGGUGAAAUACCACCCUUCGAGUAUGAAGAUUCUAACCGGGACCCGUAAUCCGGGCUCGGAACCGUGGUAGACGGGCAGUUUGACUGGGGCGGUCCCCUCCCAAAGAGUAACGGAGGGGCUCAAAGGUGCGUUCAGCACGGUUGGCAAUCGUGCGUCGAGUGUAAGGGCACAAACGCGCUUAACUGCGAGAGAAAAACCUCAAGCAGGUGGGAAACCAGGACCUAGUGAUCCGGCGGUUCUUCGUGGAAAGGCCGUCGCUCAACUGAUAAAAGGUACCCCGGGGAUAACAGGCUGAUCUCCCCCAAGCGUCCAUAGCGACGGGGAGGUUUGGCACCUCGAUGUCGACUCAUCGCAUCCUGGAGCUGCAGUCGGUUCCAAGGGUUCGGCUGUUCGCCGAUUAAAGCGGUACGUGAGUUGGGUUCAGACCGACGUGAGUCAGGUCGGUCCCUAUCUGCCGUGGGCGUAGGAUCCUUGAGGAGAUUCGUCUCUAGUACGAGAGGAUUGAGACGGAGGCACCCCUGGUGUUCCAGUUGGGCUGCUAAGCCCACCGCUGGGUAGCUAUGUGCCGAUAGGAUAAACGCUGAAAGCAUCUAAGCGUGAAGCCAGCUCCAAGACUAGGGAUCCCUAUGAGGCUCGUUGU
rnacentral:rRNA from 1 species